rnacentral:misc_RNA from 1 species
AGAAGAAGAAGCAUUAGCAUGACCCCAGAGAUAGGCGAUGAUAUCGUAAGGGCUGUGCGUGCAAUGAAUGAAUCUUUGAAGCAAAAUCGGCUUUUAAGGGAGCAGGGUGAUGAUAGGUCAUUUGCAAACUCUCUAGAUGACAAGGACAAUUGCCCAGAUCUCCAGAAAAAUGUAUCUAAUUUUGAUCUUGAUGGUCAUGAUGAAAUAUCUGGUAGAAAGUCUGCCUUAUAUACCCUUCAAAGGGACCACAUAAAUUCCCAAAAGGCUAUAUCAUUACCAUCAUCUCCACAUGAAUAUAGGAGUAAAACAUCAGAAAGAAGGGGACCUUCAGGUUAUGUGAAUGAUGAAUUUGUUUCAACAUGGAACAAAGUUCUUGAAUCUCCCACGUUCCACAAUCAGCCUCUAUUACCAUUCCAAGAAUGGAAUAUUGAUUUUUCAGAAUUAAAUAUUGGGACUCGUGUUGGCAUUGGGUUUUUUGGGGAAGUUUUCCGUGGCAUAUGGAAUGGAACAGAUGUUGCAAUCAAGGUUUUUCUAGAGCAAGAUCUAACUGCUGAAAACAUGGAGGACUUUUGCAACGAGAUAUCCAUUCUUAGGUCCAUUCUUGUCAAAUACGUUAAUUGUUUUAGUUCUAUUCUAUCCUCGUAUCUUUCUGACUCUAUCUCUGUGUUGGUUUAUGCAUGUGCUGUUUUCUAGCCGACUUCGACAUCCCAAUGGUAUUCCCCUUCACCUACUAAUGUUAGAAUAUACUACAUUCAUUCUACCGAGAUUACGUCUGCUAGUGACAGUUAACAUAGUAUGACUUGUAAAUGUAAAAUUAACAAGAUCUAACCCAUCAAAGUAAAGGGGACAGUUUUCUUUGUCUAAAUAUUUGGAUUUUAAUUUAUGAUGCUAUUUUUAGAAAUUUUACUCUGAUCAUGUAGCCAUAUGAAAACUAAGAGCUCCUUUUACUCUUUAUUGCUUUUUCUUCUGGUGACUGUUGCUGAAUUGGAGAGAUUCUUGCAGUUAUCUUAUUCUUGGGUGCUUGCAUGAAGCCCCCUCACUUGUCAAUGGUUACUGAAUAUAUGGAGAUGGGGUCGUUGUACUUUUUGAUCCAUAUGAGUGGUCAGAAGAAGAAGCUUAGUUGGCGGAGGAGGCUAAAAAUGUUGCGUGAUAUAUGCAGGGGGUUGAUGUGCAUACAUCGGAUGAAGAUAGUUCACCGAGACCUGAAAAGUGCAAAUUGUCUUGUGAAUAAACAUUGGACUGUUAAGAUAUGUGAUUUUGGGCUCUCAAGAAUAAUGACGGAGACGCCUAUGAGAGACUCCUGUUCUGCAGGAACUCCAGAAUGGAUGGCUCCGGAACUUAUUCGCAAUGAACCCUUCACUGAAAAAUGUGAUAUUUUCAGCCUUGGGGUAAUAAUGUGGGAGCUUUGCACACUGAAUAGACCAUGGGAAGGAGUGCCACCAGAAAGGGUAACAUGAUUUUAUCCCUUUUUUUAGCCAUAUACUGUUGCUCUGGUCAUUUCGGAGAUUUUCUGAAAUACAUCCAGCUAAAGGCAUUUGGUUCUUUGCUGUUCAGGUAGUUUAUGCUGUUGCUAACGAGGGAUCCCGUUUGGAGAUUACUGACGGUCCACUGGGCAGGUUAAUUUCAGGUAUCUGUAGCAACAGAGAUCAAGAAAGAUCAUUAACUCAUUUCUUAGUAUGUUUUGACAUCAAUGAGACCUAUAAUAUGCUAUUUAUCGUAUAUAACUGCUGACUUUGCUUUCGUCUUGAUUCGGAGAUUGUUGGGCAGAACCGCAUGAACGGCCAAGCUGUGAAGAUAUAUUCUCCCGGUUGCUCGACUGCGAGUACACGCUCUGCUGAGUCGUUUUCGUAUGUAUAGAAAAACACGAUAGAGGCUUUGCAAUGUGUUUCGGCUAAAUUGUAAACUGUUUGAUUUUCUGUCAUUGGGAAAAACAUCAAAUGCUUCAAUUUUCAGAUGUCAAUGGAACCGUUGAAUCUUUCUGUGCGAGUGAAAAGAGUGGGCAAAUGCUUUUUGUCAAUUUGAAGAGUUGGAAAUUGCAUUUUUUGUGUGGCUUCUUUCUGUCUGCAUGAAACUCCAAAAAAUAAAGUAGCCA